AGGAAAGCAGCUCAGCCAUUGACGGGACCUAGAUGCCCUAUUGGAUCAUUCUAUGGGGCUAUUUGAAGAAGAUAUAGAAACUUCUUCAUCAAUACUUGCCGAAGCUAGGAGUAUUGUCCUAAUUUCUAACUAUGGGGACAGGAAAUUCCAGGCCACAAAGGUUGCUCACAUUUUUACCUGAUUUGCCUCCAGAUUUGAAGUUAUGUGAAUGGCUUGUUUGUCUAACUCAGCUCUGCUCAAAUCAAUCUUUCACGGGUCCCCCCAGUAAAGAUCACCUUGGGUCAAAGGUUAUAGGUCAUCAUGGUUCUUAAAUACCUACCCACUUUGUAGGAGUUCCAAAGUGGACAAUUACUCAGAAAUUAGGAAUAAAAGCAUAUAUUUCAAAAGACUAAUUGGGAAAAAUGGGUAUGGCAUGUGCAGUAAUGUUUCAAAUGUUGUCUUUAUGGCUAUCCCAAUUAAUUUCCAGUGUUUCUCCAACCUGACUUUUAAAAAGAUAGAAUACAAUAGAAAGCAACCUGCUAUUGAUGUGCAGAGUUGCCUGUGUCACAUCUGCUGUACAAUGACUUGACCAUUAGGAUAUUCAUCCUUUUUAUGUGCCUGGGUGCGCUCAUGCCAGCACAUUCUUAAAUGUAUGUGAGUCCAGACACAUACAUGCAAAGUUGUGAUCAAAAGAUUUCCCUAAAGUAAUUAAUUCAGGGCUACUGCUGAGAAACAAGGCAAAACUUGGAGGGGCUUUCCAAAAAUAUCAUAGUUUUGCCGUUCAGUAGUGCUGACUUCUUGUGGUGCAAAUCUAUUAAUUUUGAUGUAAUAAAAAAAGUGUUCAUAGAAACAAGCAAGAAAUAAAUAGGGACAUUAAGAUUAUAUGGAAAGGUGGAAACUGGAAGGUGAGCUAAGAAUUGUCCAGAUGACAGGCAAAGGCAGUGGAGGCAACGUGGAUGACGCAGGUUGGUUAAAUUCAUGUGUAUUUUAAAAGGGUGACUGUCCAUUAUGCACACAACUCACAGGCUCUGCUUCCUGGAGAGCCAGGCCGUUGCUUUUUUGAUGAAAGAAAAUCAUUUCAACAUGCGGAAGGAGAGGGCUUUUUGACUAUAGCUUCUUCGAAGUGUGACCUCCAAAUGGUCACAUAUCAAGGUGCCUCGUAUUUACCUUCAUGCCGGGCUUUCAAAUCAACAGUUGGAGACUUUCAACAUUUCUAUUGUGCGGUUUUAGCGCACGGAUUAAAAAGAAAUCCAUCUGUUAAUAUUUGUUUUUCUUGUCCUUCGUUAACCAAAGAUUCUUAGGAACUUUCCAAUUUGAAGGAACAACUUUUAUUCAUCAUCUUGGUUAGAAGCAGCUUCUGCAGCUUGGGCCUUCCUCUUAGAGGGGAGCACAUCUUAAAUAAGGAAGGACUUGGUGAGUGAUACUAGCCCUUCUCUAGCAGAGCGAGAUGCCAAAAGGUACAGGCCUGGUUCUAAGGUGCUGAAUGAACUAACUGCAAAUGGUUGUUGAUUCUGUUUGCUUGUUGGAGCGCCUACUGUGCGCUGGACAGGGAGCUGGACACCUGGUAAAUCUUCUAUAGUCUUUAUAACAAUGUUGCAAAGUGAGCAUUAUCAAUAUCCCUGCUUAAAUGAGACAGCGUGGAGAGGUUAAGGAAUUUACCUAGAGCCACUCAGCUAAGUAGUUGAGCUGGGAUUCAAGCCACAUGUGUCUGUCUUUGUGGCCUCUAUUGGGUCACACUUCCCAGAAGCCCUGAAAUCACCAGGGAAAAGAUGGCGUCUCCGAGAGCCCACCGAGGGGGAUGGGGGACUUAGGCUCAUCUCGCCAGGGUGGGGGAGGUAGAGGGAGCAGCCAGAUGCUCCAGCCAUCUCAGGUCAAAUGAAGCCUGAUCCUUUCUCAGCUUGAUUUGACCUAGAACUGGGAAACAGAUGGGUCCAAGCAGCCCCAGGGUCUGAGGACGGCUGGGCAGACACAUGCGUCCUGGCUGCAAUCGCUCUCGUUCUGAGGGCCCAGGGCUGGGGGCUGCCCUGGGACCCAAGCUCCAGUGUGGGUCUUUUGACUUAUAAAACCUUAGCUAGGAAUUCCUCUGUCAGGCUAGAGGGCUCGUCCUUUCUGAGGGCAGUAGACCCAGGGAGGCCCAGAGCAAAUCCAGGGAGAUAAGGCAGAUGUCAACAGAUGCAUUGUAAACAACGUGGUGUGGAUACUGGAAGAGAUAGCGGAGGAGAUAAACAGGAAUCUAGGAAAGGUGCCCCAUGGACUUGAGGCUAACUCAACCCCAAAGAGCUGUCCUUUUGCAAUGCUGGGCCAUGAAGCUGUUUAGAAACACCCUCUAACUGUAUGAGCAUGGGACCUGGCUCACAGAUUUUUACUACAUGUGUGUUAAGUGAAUGAACUAAUGAAUAGAGACCUAGGCAUUAUUCAUUCACUACUCAUUUACUGAUGUGAGGACAAACAGUUCCAGUUUGUCUAGGACUAAGGGGUGUCCCGGGAUGUGGGACUUUCAGUGCUAAGACAAGGAAUGUCCUGGGCAAACCAGGACUAGUUGGUCUCUGUAGUUACUGAGGAUCUAUGAUGGACUGGACCCUGGGCCCCCACUGGGCAUAUGGAGCCAGCUCCUGUGUAAGGAAGUCAAGAUUUUCUCAAGGGAAAAAUCACCCUAGAAACCAUCAACUCAUGACAAACGUGAUCUCCAACGUUCAUUGUGGAAAAUAGCCUCAAGGAUGAGAUGAUGAGGAUUUUGAAGAUGGGUCUUAAGAGAAAACACUGAGGUCCCUCGAAGAUGAAGAAAUCCUCAUGAAGAUGAAUCCAAAGGUGGAUUCAAUUUCAGCUGUCUUUGGACUGAAGACUGCAACAUCAACACUUCCCAGGGUCUCCAGCCUGCCCGCCUCUCCCGCAAAUUUCAGAUUUGCAAGUAUCCACAGUCAUGAGCAAUUCCUUAAAGUAAAUAUUUCUCUGUUUCUUUCUGGAUAUGUAUAGGUUGUUUCUCUGGAGAAUCCUGAUUAAUACAUGAAGGGUCAAGAUAAGUCUACUCCAGGUGAAGUGCAAAAAAUGAACAAGGAGGCCCAAUGAUGCAUCUGCUUAACUUUUCAGUUGUCAAUGCAAAUUAAGCACAAAGAGGACAGAGUUGAUGACAUAUCAGGAACAUUUUUUACUUCCGGAGCAGGUCUGAGUCCCAGCGGAAGACUGAGGCCGACUGAGCCAGAGGCACCACUUCAAUAGGUCACUGGUCUCUGCAGGGAAAGGAAAAGGUGUAAGAGUUCUCCCUGCAUAGAUGCUAUUUGUGACUUGGAUGUUUUCUUUCUAAUACAAAUGCAUCAAAGUGUUCACAGGAAUCUAGCUAUAUGCAAGAAGUCUGGAUUAUCUGCCUGAGAGAACUGGCCAGUAUCUCACCCAUGAGCACCAGAACCCAUUUCUAGAUUACUAAGAAAGGAGCACAAGAACACUGUGUAUAAGGCUCUGUGUUCCUAGAACUUUCUAAAUUUUACUUAAUGCAGGUUAACUUCAUCAACCCUGGUGAAAAUGCCACCUCCUCAUGAGGAAGCCUUCCCCAUUUGCUCUGUCUCAGAGACACUUGACUCCAUGGACUUCUCUGCAAUUCUGUUCUGUGUAGGACUGCCUAGUGCCUAGCCUUCUUGUGAUGUUCCUUGCUUAUGUCUUGUCUCCCCAUUUGAUUUGGAGGGUCCUGGGCAGGGACCACUGGGCUGGGCUCUAGUAGGCCCCCUGUAAAGACCUGUUGAGUAAUUAGAAGAGACAGUGGCCCCAUCUGGGUGAAUCCUGAAUUUAAUCAAUUUCCUGGAUCCUUGUUUAUUUUGCAAGUAGGAUAAGAAUGUCAUUGAAAUCCUAUCAUGUAGUCAUGGAAGGGCUAAUACAGUCAGUGUACUGCUACUCACUAAGCAUGCUGUUUAGCUCAGCGGUUUUUUGUUUUGUUUUGAUAACAAGACUGUCUCGAUGAAAGAAGCAGGGCGUUGUUUAAUAUUCUAAUGCAGGCUCCUUAUUUCACGACAUACUGGUAGUUACACUUGGAGUCGCAGUGAAAUAAAACAUCUAGGCCAGCGCCGUGGCUCACGUCUGUAAUCCCAGCACUUUCGGAGGCUGAGGCAGGUGGAUCACUUGAGGUCAGGAGUUUGAACCAGUUUGGCCAACAUGGUGAAACCCUGUCUUUACUAAAAAUACAAAAAUUAGCCUGGCGUGGUGAUGCAUGCCUGUAGUCCCAGGUACCUGCGAGGCUGAGGCAGGAGAAUCGCUUGAACCUGGAAGGUGGAGAUUGCAGUGAGCCAAGAUGGCACCACUGCACUCCAGCCUGGGUGACAGAGCAAGACUCUGUCUCAAAAAAAUUAAAGAAAAUAGAAAUAAAACAUAUAGCCUCACCCUCUUCAUUUGACAGAUGUGGGCUUUGAGGCUGAUAGAGAGGUAACUUGUCCAUGAUUAGACAGCAAGAAAUAGAGCUGCAGUUGGUACCAGGGCCUCAUAACACUGGGUCUAUAAUCACAAUGAAGCACCACCAGUGUCAAUGCAUGUAAAUUUCACACCCCUUAUCACACUGCAUCUACAAAGUAGUGCUGAGAACUGGGCAUGGCAGGCAUUAGUCUCUCCACGAGGAAACAGGCUCAGAGACUCUGAAGAUCCGUCCAAAUGCAUAGAGUGGGGAAGCAGUGAAAAGACGACGUUAGGACAUCCCAGCCCUGCCCACGUUCAGAGUUUGUUCCAACACAUUAGUCUUCAGAUGAGCUCACUAUUUUAGUCCUGCGUGCUCCAGCAAUGGCCUGAGAGGUGUGGGUACGUGCUGAAUGUCCAGGCCUUGUUAAAGAUAACUGCAGUACGGGCCAGGCGUGGUGGCUCGCGCCUGUAAUCCCAGCACUUUGGGAGGCCGAGGAGGAUGGAUCACGAGGUCAGGAGUU
rnacentral:lncRNA from 10 species